CCUAACUCUAGAGGUUUUGCAGGAGUGGCUUCUGUGUCACACUUUCAUCAGUAAGUGGCAGAGAGGUGAGAGGCUAUGUCUUUGCUUAGUGUUCUGACCUAAACGUCAACCAACAGACUGGGAAAGAAUCUUCACC